AUUCGAGAGGAACAGUGACACGGUCAAAGGACUUCGAGCUGAAUAUGUACGGAGAAUCUUGGCCAUGGAUGGAGCUGCACAGCCUCAUGAAUACAUUUUCAUUGAUGAAGCUGGAUUCGACCUGAGCAAAACAAGACGACGGGGUCGUAAUGUAAUUGGCCAAAGGGCAAUUGUGCACGUCCCAGGGCAGCGCGGGGGAAACAUCACAUUAUGUGCCGCCAUAUGCCUUCGAGGGCUUCUGCACCAUCAUGCAAUACUAGGUCCAUACAAUAGCCAACACAUACUCACAUUUCUAGAUGCUCUCCAUGAUAUAGUUGUACAGAACAGACCAGAUCAGCCCAGGUUUGUGGUGAUAUGGGAUAAUGUCAGUUUCCAUCGGGCUGCUCUGGUCCAGGCCUGGUUCACCGACCACAAUCAAUUUGAGGUGGUAUACUUGCCCCCUUACUCACCAUUUUUAAACCCUAUUGAGGAAUUUUUUUCGGCUUGGAGAUGGCGAGUAUAUGACCGCCAACCACAUGCCCGCAUGCCUCUUCUGCAGGCAAUGGAACAGGCCUGCGGCGACAUUGAGGUGACAGCGAUCCAUGGAUGGUUUCGGCAUGCAAGAGGGUAUUUUCCCCGGUGCCUAGCGGGAGAGGACAUAGCUUGCGAUGUUGAUGAGGUCCUGUGGCCAGACCCCAACAGACGGCGGGAUCCAUGAGCCCACUUAUGCACACUUGUCAUGGUUUUUUGUGUUUACAGUAUAGUGUUUUUUCUAUUGCAGUAUUAUUGUGUUGUGGUUUUUUUUUUUUUGCUUCAUCUGAAUUCAUGGUACUGCGAUGUACACUAUUGAGUAGGUCUAUUUGCGUUUUUGGUUGUUUGGAAAUGUGUCUCCUGUAAAUGUGCCUUCUGAAUACACAAUGGAAAUCAAGGACUGCAGUGUUUUAUAUAAAGAAGACUAGUGUGUUCCCCCUGAUCUGUCAGUGUUUGCAUAUGAUGCAAGUAUGUGUCAUUUUGUCAACAGAGUUACAUUUUGACAGAGGAAUGUUAGGUUUUGACAGCAGAGUUUAGGUUUUGGGAGUGGAGUUUCAUUUUGGCACAGAUGUGUAUGGUAUAUUUCCCAGUGUUGUGUCGUGUUUACUUGUGUUUAGAGUUUUGGCACAAUGAGCGACGUUUUGCC
ensembl:lncRNA